CGGCAAUAGCUCAAAUUUGAAAUCUGGCUUCUAUGAAGUCCGAGUUGUAAUUUGUAGAGGAUGUUUCGGCUCUUGCUCUGGUCUAAGUUCCUUGGAACAGGACGUCAUAGAGGGUGAGAAUCCCGUCUGCGAUUGGAAGUCAAGCAGCCAUGUGAAACUCCUUCGAC
rnacentral:rRNA from 1 species